rnacentral:rRNA from 1 species
GAUGAACGCUGGCGGCGUGCUUAACACAUGCAAGUCGAACGAUGAAGCCCAGCUUGCUGGGUGGAUUAGUGGCGAACGGGUGAGUAACACGUGAGUAACCUGCCCUUAACUCUGGGAUAAGCCUGGGAAACUGGGUCUAAUACCGGAUAGGAGCGUCCACCGCAUGGUGGGUGUUGGAAAGAUUUAUCGGUUUUGGAUGGACUCGCGGCCUAUCAGCUUGUUGGUGAGGUAAUGGCUCACCAAGGCGACGACGGGUAGCCGGCCUGAGAGGGUGACCGGCCACACUGGGACUGAGACACAGCCCAGACUCCUACGGGAGGCAGCAGUGGGGAAUAUUGCACAAUGGGCGCAAGCCUGAUGCAGCGACGCCGCGUGAGGGAUGACGGCCUUCGGGUUGUAAACCUCUUUCAGUAGGGAAGAAGCGAAAGUGACGGUACCUGCAGAAGAAGCACCGGCUAACUACG